rnacentral:lncRNA from 1 species
UGCAACAUCCUCAGCAAUUGAGAAGCGGUUGGUGUCUGCACAUACGUGUGUCGAUACAGAGAGACUCCACCACGUGCAGGUGCUGUACGAACCAUCAGUGGUCCCACUAUAACCUGCGGUGGCACGGUCAUACAUAAGCAGUGGGUGAUCACUGCAUCACACUGCUAUGGCGGUUUAGACGGCACAUUGAAUGUGGAGCUUGGUGGCCACCCAAAGAUAUCUGCAAGUAAAAAACAACAAAAGACCAUUGACAACUCCAAUAUCCGCCAUCAAUUAUAUGAGCCCAUCAUAUUGCUGAAGCUUCCAAAGACAUGGAGACACUUCUGAGGAAGGUCCAGCUGCAGGAGAUUUGAUGUGCAUGGAAGUUAAUGCCCUCAUCAAGACUGAGUGUCCAGAAGCUUCUGAAACUGGCCCAAACUACAAACAUAUCUACUGUGGAAAACCUGACAAGGAGGAAAUGAAUGUCUGCAAGGGGGAUUCUGGAUCUGGUGUUCUAAAAAAAGAGCAAGUUAAAGGAAUGUUUAAUAAGAAGAAGAUUGUGGACAUUCUGUAUGGUGUUCUUAUCUCUGGACAUGGAGAAUGCGAGGAUAAAUUUGUUUUUUUCUGAUAUCUGUUCUAAUUCAUUAAAGAAGUGGGUAGACACUGUUUUGAAAGACUGAGGUUCACAAAACAAGGUAGACUUAGUAAAUUAUUUGCCAAUUAAAUUAUACAAAUUUGAAAAAAUGUAAAAAAAAAAAAAAUGGGAGGAGUAGUUUGGGAGGGACAGUGGGUGAUGUAUAGGUUUAGUGACAGGGUAGAAGAGAGAGUUGUUUGGGCUGAGUAGUGUGUUUCUGAUUAGUGGUGGGAUGCAGUGGUUUCAUGUCACAAGGGGACGUUAUUAUUGAUUUGACUGGUUUGCAUAUUGUUAGUGUUUGUGAACCAAAGUACGCGGACAUCUUAUACUCACCUGUAGUACAGCUGAACCUGCGAGGGUGCCAGCAGAGGCAUUUCAUUACUUCAAUGGAACACAUUUCUUACAUUAAUGAAAAGUUUUAGUACCUACUAAAUCAGCAGCUUUAUAUGAAAAAAAAAACUCUUAAUAGAACUCUUAAUAGAAAGUAAUGCAAAAAGCCAUUUUGGAGCAUUUCUAUUAGGCUAUUUAUCAUUAGUCCCACUUAAAUAACACUGAACAUGUAAAAAAAAAAGUACAAAAAAAAAACAAAAAACUGAGGGACGUUUUAGAUGUGACAGCAACAACAUUACACUCUUAAAUGAAUAUUUAAUUUGAGAGAUUUGCAGUUUGUCAUGUUUGAGAAAAU